GAAUAUGAAAUGCAUUGAACAGAAAUGCGCUUGUUUAUUCCAUCAAAUUCCAUCAAUGAUAAAUUUUAAUAGAAUUUUCAAUAAAAUAAAUCUCUCGACUUGUUUUGGUGUACAGUUAAGAUAUUUUCAUCUUUCAAAAUGGCGGAAGAGGAACACCGACUGUUGGACGAUCUUUGUUGUGCUGGUUUAGGCAGGGAUUUUAUUCAAACAUUGAGUGAUUGUGGAAUCGGUUUGAAAGAACUGUGUUCUUUAACAUUGGCUCAGCUGACGGGUCUGCUCGAUUUUCUGGGGGAUCUUAAUUUUUUGCUGUCAGCUCCCUUCGUUUCAAAACUAAAACCUAGUUGAUUGCUGGUAUUCAGCUUAGUUUUCGCAAAUGAUGCGAUGGACAAAUAUUUAUCAGCGAUCGCUGUGAGGCGGGCCGAAUGAAAGGUCAAGUUCGCCGAGAAAUCUAUCGCCACUUUCGCCUUGGAAAACAGUUAAACCGAUACUUUUCGUAAAUGGUUUCGAAAUUUAUUAAGUAAGGAUAAAAUGAACGAUUCAACUUUGCAAUUAUCGUCGAAGUUUUUUUCCGGAAGUUUCAGUGCAAAUUAUUAUUGUCGGUUCUGCAAACGUAGUAAAGAGUAUUUGAGCAUAGAUGAGCACGAAAUCACAUAGUACUUAAGAAAUAGAACAAAUUUUUUGAACGACAUCGAACUAGUCAACCAAUCGGAAACAGGAAUUAGAGGAUUAAGUAUUCUGAACAAGUUACCAUCGUUUUGUUCUGUUGAAAACUUGAGUGUAGACUUUAUGCACGGUCUUUUUAGUUCGGGCGUCUGCA